UCCAUCCUGCUUUCCUUUUCUUUCUUUUCAACAAAUAUUGAUGGAGCACCUCCUCGGUGCCAGGCGCUGCUGCAGCCUCUAGGAAAUCAACCGUGGAAACACACGGACCCUGCCCUCCCGGCGCCAGUGUUCUGGUGGUCAGGAGGUGAAGAAAACCAGCAAGAACCAGCACAGGAAUCCGACGGUGGCAGCGCCGAGAGAAACAAGCUUGGAGGGGAAGGAGAGCUACAGAGGCUGCAUGGGAUGUGAUGGUUGGAGUGGAAGCUGACAUUGUGGGCCAGGAGACCCUGGGAGUACAGGCCAAGAUGAAAAGAGCCUCAAUCCAGAGCGUUCUGUGAAGCAGUCACCACGGCCACCCUGGGCCAUCAGCUUCUGGACUUUUACAACAUAGAAAUUAAAUUUCCAUUGAAUUUGUUGGA
rnacentral:lncRNA from 1 species